GCGGGGCCGGUGUGCCCGCAGCUUCCCAAGCUGAGAGCGCGAGUUCGAUUCUCGUCACCCGCUCCA
rnacentral:tRNA from 1 species